CCUACGGGAGGCAGCAGUGAGGAAUAUUGGACAAUGGGCGCAAGCCUGAUCCAGCCAUGCCGCGUGCAGGAAGACGGUCCUAUGGAUUGUAAACUGCUUUUGUACGGGAAGAAACACUCCUUCGUGAAGGAGCUUGACGGUACCGUAAGAAUAAGGAUCGGCUAGCUCCGUGCCAGCAGCCGCGGUAAUACGGAGGAUCCAAGCGUUAUCCGGAAUCAUUGGGUUUAAAGGGUCCGUAGGCGGUUUAGUAAGUCAGUGGUGAAAGCCCAUCGCUCAACGGUGAACGGCCAUUGAUACUGCUAGACUUGAAUUAUUAGGAAGUAACUAGAAUAUGUAGUGUAGCGGUGAAAUGCUUAGAGAUUACAUGGAAUACCAAUUGCGAAGGCAGGUUACUACUAAUGGAUUGACGCUGAUGGACGAAAGCGUGGGUAGCGAACAGGAUUAGAUACCCUGGUAGUCCACGCCGUAAACGAUGGAUACUAGCUNUUGGGGGCAACUUCAGUGGCUAAGCGAAAGUGAUAAGUAUCCACCUGGGAGUACGUUGCAAGAUGAACUUAAUGAAUUGACGGNNGNGNGNGCGAGNGACAGAGGAGAG
rnacentral:rRNA from 1 species